GUCGGAUCCGUCCGGGGCAUUGUGCCAUGAACGUAGCAGGGCGGAGCAGCGCAACGGGCACAACAUAUGUCCCGGACACGACGGUGAAGUACAGGUGGGCCGGAAUUAGUCAGGCAUAAACGCACGCGGGUGCAAGGAGGAGCAGCGCGGCCAAGGCCAUAGCAGAAUCCGUGGCCGACCGAGGCAGCAGUAACAACCUGACUCGGACAGGC
rnacentral:lncRNA from 1 species